rnacentral:rRNA from 1 species
UAACAAUACGGGGCUUAAAGUCUUGUAAUUGGAAUGAUGGGAAUUUAAACCUCUUCCAGAGUAUCAAUUGGAGGGCAAGUCUGGUACCAGCAGCCGCGGUAAUUCCAGCUCCAAUAGCGUAUAUUAAAAUUGUUGCAGUUAAAAAGCUCGUAGUUGAAUUUCUGCUGCAUUGCUUGUGUCCCUCUGGGGUCUGUGCAUGUGGCUUUUUUCGGACGGAGUUUCUUUGUCUGAAUGUUUACUUUGAGAAAAUUAGAGUGCUCAAAGCAGGCUUUCGCCUUGAAUAGUUUAGCAUGGAAUAAUAAAGUAGGACUUUGGUUCUAUUUUGUUGGUUUUAGGUACCAAAGUAAUGGUUAAUAGGAACAGUUGGGGGCAUUCGUAUUUAACUGUCAGAGGUGAAAUUCUUAGA